rnacentral:rRNA from 2 species
UGCUGGAGGUAUCAGAAGUGCGAAUGCUGACAUAAGUAACGAUAAAGCGGGUGAAAAGCCCGCUCGCCGGAAGACCAAGGGUUCCUGUCCAACGUUAAUCGGGGCAGGGUGAGUCGACCCCUAAGGCGAGGCCGAAAGGCGUAGUCGAUGGGAAACGGGUUAAUAUUCCCGUACUUGGUGUUACUGCGAAGGGGGGACGGAGAAGGCUAUGUUGGCCGGGCGACGGUUGUCCCGGUUUAAGCGUGUAGGUGUGUGUUCCAGGUAAAUCCGGUUCACUUUAACACUGAGGCGUGAUGACGAGGCACUACGGUGCUGAAGCAACAAAUGCCCUGCUUCCAGGAAAAGCCUCUAAGCAUCAGGUAACAUCAAAUCGUACCCCAAACCGACACAGGUGGUCAGGUAGAGAAUACCAAGGCGCUUGAGAGAACUCGGGUGAAGGAACUAGGCAAAAUGGUGCCGUAACUUCGGGAGAAGGCACGCUGACAUGUAGGUGAAGUGAUUUACUCAUGGAGCUGAAGUCAGUCGAAGAUACCAGCUGGCUGCAACUGUUUAUUAAAAACACAGCACUGUGCAAACACGAAAGUGGACGUAUACGGUGUGACGCCUGCCCGGUGCCGGAAGGUUAAUUGAUGGGGUCAGCGCAAGCGAAGCUCCUGAUCGAAGCCCCGGUAAACGGCGGCCGUAACUAUAACGGUCCUAAGGUAGCGAAAUUCCUUGUCGGGUAAGUUCCGACCUGCACGAAUGGCGUAAUGAUGGCCAGGCUGUCUCCACCCGAGACUCAGUGAAAUUGAACUCGCUGUGAAGAUGCAGUGUACCCGCGGCAAGACGGAAAGACCCCGUGAACCUUUACUAUAGCUUGACACUGAACAUUGAGCCUUGAUGUGUAGGAUAGGUGGGAGGCUUUGAAGCGUGGACGCCAGUCUGCGUGGAGCCGACCUUGAAAUACCACCCUUUAAUGUUUGAUGUUCUAACGUGGACCCGUGAUCCGGGUUGCGGACAGUGUCUGGUGGGUAGUUUGACUGGGGCGGUCUCCUCCUAAAGAGUAACGGAGGAGCACGAAGGUUGGCUAAUCCUGGUCGGACAUCAGGAGGUUAGUGCAAUGGCAUAAGCCAGCUUGACUGCGAGCGUGACGGCGCGAGCAGGUGCGAAAGCAGGUCAUAGUGAUCCGGUGGUUCUGAAUGGAAGGGCCAUCGCUCAACGGAUAAAAGGUACUCCGGGGAUAACAGGCUGAUACCGCCCAAGAGUUCAUAUCGACGGCGGUGUUUGGCACCUCGAUGUCGGCUCAUCACAUCCUGGGGCUGAAGUAGGUCCCAAGGGUAUGGCUGUUCGCCAUUUAAAGUGGUACGCGAGCUGGGUUUAGAACGUCGUGAGACAGUUCGGUCCCUAUCUGCCGUGGGCGCUGGAGAACUGAGGGGGGCUGCUCCUAGUACGAGAGGACCGGAGUGGACGCAUCACUGGUGUUCGGGUUGUCAUGCCAAUGGCACUGCCCGGUAGCUAAAUGCGGAAGAGAUAAGUGCUGAAAGCAUCUAAGCACGAAACUUGCCCCGAGAUGAGUUCUCCCUGAGACUUAGAGUCUCCUGAAGGAACGUUGAAGACGACGACGUUGAUAGGCCGGGUGUGUAAGCGCAGCGAUGCGUUGAGCUAACCGGUACUAAUGAACCGUGAGGCUUAACCUUACAACGCCGAAG